AUGAAACAGGGUAGAUGCUGUGGUGGGGUCCAGGCAGCUUUGUGGAAAAGUCUCCAAUGGUCUGGUAGGAUGAGAAGGUCCAGGGGUAGUUUGGAAUACGAGGAGAAGCAUCACCUCCCAAGACGGUAAACCUACUGAAAAGACUAUUCAAAUUCCAGAAGGAC
rnacentral:lncRNA from 1 species